rnacentral:rRNA from 1 species
UGAGGAAUAUUGGUCAAUGGGCGCGAGCCUGAACCAGCCAAGUAGCGUGAAGGAUGAAGGUCCUAUGGAUUGUAAACUUCUUUUAUAGCAGAAUAAAGUGACCCACGUGUGGGUUUUUGUAUGUAUGCUAUGAAUAAGGAUCGGCUAACUCCGUGCCAGCAGCCGCGGUAAUACGGAGGAUCCGAGCGUUAUCCGGAUUUAUUGGGUUUAAAGGGUGCGUAGGCGGAAAGAUAAGUCAGCCCGUGAAAGUUUGCGGCUCAACCGUAAAAUUGCAGUUGAUACUGUUUUUCUUGAGUGUACAUAAGGUAGGCGGAAUUCGUGGUGUAGCGGUGAAAUGCUUAGAUAUCACGAAGAACUCCGAUUGCGAAGGCAGCUUACCGGGGUACAACUGACGCUGAUGCACGAAAGUGUGGGUAUCAAACA